UGCAAGUCGAACGGUAACGCGGGGCAACCUGGCGACGAGUGGCGAACGGGUGAGUAAUGCAUCGGAACGUGCCCAGAAGUGGGGGAUAGCCCGGCGAAAGCCGGAUUAAUACCGCAUGAGACCUGAGGGUGAAAGCGGGGGAUCGCAAGACCUCGCGCUUUUGGAGCGGCCGAUGUCAGAUUAGCUAGUUGGUGGGGUAAAGGCCUACCAAGGCGACGAUCUGUAGCUGGUCUGAGAGGACGACCAGCCACACUGGGACUGAGACACGGCCCAGACUCCUACGGGAGGCAGCAGUGGGGAAUUUUGGACAAUGGGCGCAAGCCUGAUCCAGCCAUGCCGCGUGCGGGAAGAAGGCCUUCGGGUUGUAAACCGCUUUUGUCAGGGAAGAAACGCUCUGGGCUAAUACCCUGGGGUAAUGACGGUACCUGAAGAAUAAGCACCGGCUAACUACGUGCCAGCAGCCGCGGUAAUACGUAGGGUGCAAGCGUUAAUCGGAAUUACUGGGCGUAAAGCGUGCGCAGGCGGUUAUGCAAGACAGAUGUGAAAUCCCCGGGCUCAACCUGGGAACUGCAUUUGUGACUGCAUGGCUAGAGUGCGGCAGAGGGGGAUGGAAUUCCGCGUGUAGCAG
rnacentral:rRNA from 1 species